rnacentral:lncRNA from 1 species
GAGAGAGAAGGGAAGAGAAAGCCGAAGAGAGGGAAAGAGGGGGAUCGACCGACGAGUAGAGAGAAGAGAGAGAGAGGCCGACGAAAGAGAGGGAUCGACCGACAGAAGGAAAGAGAUCGGUCGGGGGAGAGAGAAGAGAAGAGGAAGUCGAAGAGAGAGAGAGAGGCCGACGAGAAGAGAGGGGAGGACACCGGCGCCGGCGAAAAGAAGAGAGAAAAUUUUUUAGAGAGAAGGGAGAGAAAUCGGCUAGAG